rnacentral:rRNA from 1 species
AAGGAUCAUUACCGAGUGCGGGUCCUUUGGGCCCAACCUCCCAUCCGUGUCUAUUGUACCCUGUUGCUUCGGCGGGCCCGCCGCUUGUCGGCCGCCGGGGGGGCGCCUCUGCCCCCCGGGCCCGUGCCCGCCGGAGACCCCAACACGAACACUGUCUGAAAGCGUGCAGUCUGAGUUGAUUGAAUGCAAUCAGUUAAAACUUUCAACAAUGGAUCUCUUGGUUCCGGCAUCGAUGAAGAACGCAGCGAAAUGCGAUAACUAAUGUGAAUUGCAGAAUUCAGUGAAUCAUCGAGUCUUUGAACGCACAUUGCGCCCCCUGGUAUUCCGGGGGGCAUGCCUGUCCGAGCGUC